GGCCACGUAGAAAAGUGGUAAUUCGACGCUCUGCAAAAGCGUUAUCGCGAGUUCGAUUCUCGCCGUGGCCU
rnacentral:tRNA from 1 species